rnacentral:lncRNA from 1 species
AGAACACCACAACUAAAAAACUAUAACUAGAGCACUAGAACUAGAACACUAGAACUACAGCACUGGAACUAGAACACUAGAACUAAAGCAGUAAAACUAGAACCCUAGAACUAGAACACUAGAAAUCUAGAAAUAUAACACUUAAACUGGAACACAGGUACUAGAGCACUAGAAUUACAUCACUCGAAAACCAGAGCAUGAGAACUAGAACACUUGAUCUAGAGCACUAGAACAAGAACACUAGAACUAGGGCACAAUAACUAGUAGAAUAAUAGAACUAGAACACUGGAACACUA